rnacentral:rRNA from 1 species
UACGGAGGGUGCAAGCGUUAUCCGGAUUUACUGGGUUUAAAGGGUGUGUAGGCGGACUUUUAAGUCCGUGGUGAAAUCUCCGGGCUCAACCCGGAAACUGCCAUGGAUACUAUUGGUCUUGAAUGUUGUGGAGGUGGGCGGAACGGGUCAUGUAGCGGUGAAAUGCUUAGAGAUGACCCGGAACACCGAUUGCGAAGGCAGCCCACUACGCAACUAUUGACGCUGAGGCACGAAAGCGUGGGGAGCAAACGGG